ensembl:lncRNA
UGGCCCUUUUGGAAGACUUUUCAAGGACUUUUCAAAGACUUUUAAAAUGCAAAGUUUUGCUGAAAGACAUGAAGAUGAGUUGACAAGGCUUCAGAGGGAGUAAAUGUUCCUUCAUAUGGAGCAUCCCAUGAGGGGGUACAGCCUGAGACUCCCCGUUGGUCAGUGGGUGAAAGGGCUUAUGUGUUAGCAGAUCAAAGCUCUGGCGGUGUUACCCCCUCCUGUGACAUCCUACUCCUCCACACCUUCUGAUUCAUACACCUUCACAAAGAAAACACGGACCUAUGAUCCCAGUCUGUUCUAGCCAGGCUUUGAUUCACCAGGCAAGGUGGCUUUGAACUCCGACGUCAUGGAGAGAAAACCAUUCAGCUUUGCAUGGAAGGAACUAAAAUCCAAUAACUGCCUGUCUUCUCGUUCUCCCUGUGGUAUCAAAGCAAAGGAUCUUCAUGUGUGA